UACAGAGGUCUCAAGCGUUGUUCGGAUUCAUUGGGCGUAAAGGGUGCGUAGGCGGCGCGGUAAGUCGGGUGUGAAAUCUCGGGGCUUAACUCCGAAACUGCAUUCGAUACUGCCGUGCUUGAGGACUGGAGAGGAGACUGGAAUUUACGGUGUAGCGGUGAAAUGCGUAGAUAUCGUAAGGAAGACCAGUGGCGAAGGCGGGUCUCUGGACAGUUCCUGACGCUGAGGCACGAAAGGUCAGGGGGAGGCAAAACGGGG
rnacentral:rRNA from 1 species